rnacentral:lncRNA from 7 species
ACACAGGUGCAAGUACAAUGAGCAAGAAUGAGGUUUUCUCUUGUGUUAAUGUGAUGUGAUGAUUUGAGGAAUUCGUCUGAAUGGAUUCUAGUCUAUGGCGGCUAAGAGGAACAACCUCAGAACACCUCUGAGAUCUGAAUAGUGGCUUGGAUGUGCCUGCCUCUGAACGUUACUGUGUCAGCCUUAGGCAGUUAGGUUGCCCUAAAAUUGGAGCCUGAGUUAAGUGCUAGGCCUACAGAUGACUUCUGAGACACGCUUUGGAAAAUUCCUGAAGCUUCUGCACAUAUCUGGAGUUUUGCCAAACUGCUCCAGAACGCAGCUGGAUCUGGUCCCAAGCACUUCCAGCCCAGGUGAGUGGUGCCAGCGCGAUCGUUUCUGAUGUCCAGCUGUGUAAGGGAAGCCCUGGGCUCAGUAGAUAGCACGUCAGAUGCGCCCGCCCACGUAUAUGUAUUUCCAGUGAGCACAGGAACUCUUUUGGUAUAGAAGUCUCAUUGGGAAAGGAUUCUGACUUCUGGAGGGUCUUCAGAUCUGCAGGCGGUACACCCUCUGUAUUUGGACUCAUAGAAUCAUUAAGGUUGGAAAAGGCCUCUGAGAUCACCAAGUCUAACUGUCAACCCACCCCCGCCAUGCCCACAACCACAUCCCUCAGUGCCACAUCUCUAUGGUUCUCAAACACCUCCAGGAACGGUGACUCCACCACUCCCUGGGUAGCAGUGCCAGUGCAUCACCACUCUUUCUAAGAAGAAACUGUUCCUAACAUCCAACCUGAACCUCCCCUGGCACAACCUAAGGCCAUUAUCUCUUGUCCUAUGAGUCGAGGUCACAUCCAGUGGAUAACUCAAGUUUUAUGUAAUAAUCAAAGAGACAAAAUGUUCCCCUGAGACUUCAAUGAUUACGAGCAAUGUGAUGCAACCUCUAACAUGCUGGACUUUAAUUAAAAGCCAUGCUAUUGAAG